AGGGAUUUAAGAUGCUACCACCUUGGGAAUUUGAGUGGCCACCACCUCAGGAAUUUGAGUGGCCACCACCUCAGGAAUUUGAGUGGCCACCACCUCAGGUGCCUUUCAACCCACAAAAAAUCGUGGUGUGGUGACAAAAUAAUGACAAGAUGAGAAGAUAAUGGAUUGUAUCAACAAUCAUGACAUACGCUGUGGUGGGGUGUUGACUUAAGAUGCCGAUGGGGAAGAUUCCUGCUGCAACAAAGAUCACAUUUUGUCUUUAAGCAAAUGUCACCAAUGAUGUAGCGUAAUCAGGUUUCCUUUUUGGAUUCUGUCAUUAACCUGAUAAUAUUUUCUGUCACUUUGUGGCAAUACAGCACAAAUAAGAAUGAAGAUUAGCAAGUAUUAAAUUUCCAUAAGAUGGUGUGUAAAUUGUCUUCAUUUGGUCUUUUUAAAUCAUUGUCUUAAUUUCCUGUGCAUUGCAUUGCUUCAACAGACAAUUCAUAAUGUAUAUAAAAGGAACAAUGAUUUGCCAGAUAACUUUUAAAAAAACCUCAACAGUAUAGAUGGCAGUCAGAGCUGAGAAUCUGAGGCACUCUGAUGUAAUAAAAAUCAUUUGUUAAACAGGAAUAUCUACGUGUUUCAACUCUAACGAGUCUUCAUCAGAAUAUGGCAGUUCAUAAAACUAAAGGUGUGCUAGAGAGUGGCAUCAUGACUGGACCUCUUCUCUGGAUUAUUAUGAAGGUGUGGACAAGUUUGUUUGACUAACAUCUUCACUAACGUUGAUUUUGUCGAACUAAACAUAGAACAAAAAGUAAGGAAAUUUGUCUUUGGUACAUUAUUUCUUUGUUGUAACAUGCUUCUUGGCAGUAAAAAAGCCCACAAAAGGCAAACUCCACACAGAAAGGCUCUGAUUGACAGGGACUCUAACCAGGAAUCUUUCUCCAAUGUAGCAACAGCACUAAUCCCUGCAGCACUCCUUAGGAAUUCCAUCUACUGUGAAGAAAUUCGUCUGCGUUCAGCAGCUACAUCCAGCAUGUUGCAGAUGUCCUUGUGUCAAAGGUUAUCAUGUUGCAUCAACUAUUGGCUGAAAGUUUGUUUUCUUGAAGUCAGUUUGAAGUCAGUUUGUGAUAACAAACGAGCCGUUUGGUAUCACAAACAUUUGCUAGGUGUUUGAUAUUAUACACCUAUCCUAACAGGUCUACUUAAAACACCUGAAUUCAAUAAUUAACAGGUGUUGCCAGACACUUGAACACCAUAAACUGUAUGUCCAUCAUAAUUUUGAAUUCAGGUCGUCCCUCCAGUGUCAGUAUUGUCCUUGGUCUGUCCUCUGUUUGAUAGUGCCCUGACAAAAGCAAACAUUAGGAGAGUCAAUGUGUACAGCAAACAUGAAACAUCAAACAUCUUGCACAAUUUUUAAAAUCCCUGUUAUAUAACUCAGUGUCAGAAAACAAUGACCUGAUAGACACAUGUCUGUGAAAAGGGAAACUGCUGCAGCAGCAGCAGCUUUAUGCAUGUACUUGAGUUUUAUUUCUAGAGAAGAUAAAAACUGUUCAUCUAUAAAAUGCAUGGGGAUAAUUCAUAAAAGUCAUGAACAGUUAAAUGGUGAUACAUCUUUGAUCAUUAUUGUAAUUAUUGUUGAAGAAUAUCUGAACAAUGUAAAAGGCAUGAAAAGUUUUUUCUCAUGACAUUUUUUCCACCUGUAA